UUGGGUUAAGUCCGCAACGAGCGCAACCCUUGUGUUUAGUUGCAAACAAGGUCAAGCUGUGCACUCUAGACAGACUGCCGUGGACAACACGGAGGAAGGUGGGGAUGACGUCAAAUCAUCAUGCCCCUUAUGAUCUGGGCUACACACGUGCUACAAUGGCCGGUACAACGGGCAGCGAAGGAGCGAUCCGGAGCGAAUCCUAAAAAGCCGGUCCCAGUUCGGAUUGCAGGCUGAAACUCGCCUACAUGAAGUUGGAGUUGCUAGUAAUCGCGAAUCAGAAUGUCGCGGUGAAUGCGUUCCCGGGUCUU
rnacentral:rRNA from 1 species